AGCAUGCUAGUCGCGCGGGUUUAGACCCGCGGCAUAUAGCUCAGUAACACGUGGCCAAACUACCCUACAGACCGCGAUAACCUCGGGAAACUGAGGCCAAUAGCGGAUACCACUCUCACGCUGGAGUGCCGAGAGUGAGAAACGUUCCGGCGCUGUAGGAUGUGGCUGCGGCCGAUUAGGUAGAUGGUGGGGUAACGGCCCACCAUGCCCAUAAUCGGUACAGGUUGUGACAGCAAGAGCCUGGAGACGGUAUCUGAGACAAGAUACCGGGCCCUACGGGGCGCAGCAGGCGUGAAACCUUUACACUGCACGACAGUGCGAUAGGGGGACUCCGAGUGCGAGGGCAUAUAGCCCUCGCUUUUCUGAACCGUAAGGUGGUUCAGGAACAAGUGCUGGGCAAGACCGGUGCCAGCCGCCGCGGUAAUACCGGCAGCACGAGUGAUGGCCGAUAUUAUUGGGCCUAAAGCGUCCGUAGCUUGCUGUGUAAGUCCAUUGGGAAAUCCACGCGCUCAACGCGUGGGCGUCCGGUGGAAACUGCGCGGCUUGGGGCCGAGAGACUCGACGGGUACGUCCGGGGUAGGAGUGAAAUCCUGUAAUCCUGGACGGACCACCAAUGGCGAAAGCACGUCGAGAGACCGGACCCGACAGUGAGGGACGAAAGCCAGGGUCUCGAACCGGAUUAGAUACCCGGGUAGUCCUGGCUGUAAACAAUGCUCGCUAGGUAUGUCACGCGCCAUGAGCACGUGAUGUGCCGUAGUGAAGACGAUAAGCGAGCCGCCUGGGAAGUACGUCCGCAAGGAUGAAACUUAA
rnacentral:rRNA from 1 species